CAUUUGGCAAGGGUUUCUGGGAAGAAGGGGGUUGCAGGAGCCAUGUGGACUGACUGGAGCAGGCUGUUACAAAGAGACACAGAGGUCUAAUGAUGUGCACCUGCAGGAACCUACUUUGAGAGACAAAUGUUGAUGCCGCCGCCUGGAAACAAAUAACACGGAACCCAGAGCAACUGGGGGAGGCUGUUUUUAAUGAGACACCGGGCAAUGGUGAGUCAAGUUUCCUUGGAUGUCCACAAGUUCUAGAGUUAUGAGACAGGUAGGAAAACUUUUCUCUAGCCAAUUUUCACUAUGCCUUGCAUGAUUUUGUAAACUUCUAGCCUGUCACCUCUUAAGUUCCCUCUGCUGUUCGGCUACACACUUGGCCCAACCAUUAGACCUGUGAAUUUAGCAAACAAGUGGCAAAUUGCAGGUAUGUCUGGGCCUGAGACCAAUCUGUAAAGAGAUUCCUCAUCCUUGCCCUAAAACUUCCAAGACCUCUUGGAGAUCAGGCCUGCUUUAUCUGCUACAACUGAUUCAAUGAUUUAGCUGUAAAAGAUGCAGGACCUAGCAGUUCCAUGUGAAGGGGAGGCACAGAUAAGACAACUGCAAGCUCAGCCUGAAGCAGCCUGGACAUAAAAACCAUGGGAAAUUGCAGUCAAACAUAACUACGCAUGAGUGCUAGUUAGUGUGUGAGGGGGUUAAGACAAUAGAGCUGGAUUCCUAGACUCAGCUAAGUGAUGCCCCCUCUUCUCAAAUGAGAGAGGAAGUGAAGCCUUUUCUUCCUGUUCCAUUUCUCUCCACAUGAUGUUAAUGGCCAAAGAAGACGUGCCUAAGCAGGCUCCAAGCUUGGAGCACAUGUUUGAAGCAACGUUUCUGUAUAUUCUAUCCAAGAGUAUUCUGCCUGAGUUUUCCUUGCUGCUGUCUGGAUACGUGAAUGAAUCUGACCUUUGGAACGUUUUGUAAGUAACACAUUUGAAACUUACUUCAGUGUUAUGACCAGUUCAGUGCUAAGAGGGGUAGGAAAGAGGGAAGCUCUGGAUACAGCUAAGUGGUAUUAAAGGGUGCAGUAACCUAUAUCCCCGCAUUAUAAUGCUGCUUGACUUUUGUGAAUUCAAAAUCUGCUACUGGGGGAUUUCUUCUGCUGUAGGGUGAGUUUAGCUUCACAUUUUGAAUCUAAGCACCCAGCUGAUUCUCUUGCUAUUCACCCUACACACAUGGAUCACAGGGAUUCAUGUUUCCUUCCCACAGAAGCUGUGUAGGAUUGAUGUGCUUUUACCUUUACUGUUCUUCCUUUCAGGAAGAGGAGGGAAUUUCUUUCAUCCAAGCUGGUGUUCUUCAGCUUUCCUGUCCCCAGGUGUUGUUGGCCUAUGACUCCCAUCAUUCCCAGCCUCCUCAGCCAGGGAUGGUGGGAGUUUCAGUCCAACUAGGGACACAAGGCUGAAAGGACCAUUCUAAAGGUUUAGGCAUUUGCUGCAUCCUAAAUGUCCUAAAUGAGGGACGCAGGUGGCGCUGUGGAUUAAACCACAGAGCCUAGGACUUGCCGAUUGGAAGGUCGGUGGUUCGAAUCCCCACAACGGGGUGAGCUCCCGUUGCUCGGUCCCUGCUCCUGCCAACCUAGCAGUUCGAAAGCACGAAGUGCAAGUAGAUAAAUAGGUACCGCUCUGGCGGGAAGGUAAACGGUGUUUCCGUGUGCUGCUCUGGUUCACCAGAAGCGGCUCAGUCAUGCUGGCCACAUGACCUGGAAGCCGUAUACCAGCUCCCUCGGCCAAUAAAGCGAAAUGAGCGCCGCAACCCCAGAGUCAGACACGACUGAACCUAAUGGUCAGGGGUCCCUUUACCUUUACCUUAAAUGUCUGAGAGGAAAGCACCCAGAUGCCCACCAUGGCUAAGUUCUCCUGAAGGUGGUUAUCCCUGUGUCUGGGCAGAGCAACUCCAUUAGUCCACUUUCACACCAUCAAAUUCCCUUGCACUAAGAAAAAGCAGGGUAAAGCAGAUCAAUCUGGAUUUCCAUGCACUUGGAAUGUUUUGUAUGCAGGGGCAUCCAAUGGUUUGAAUCCCCUUGCCCGGAUGUGCCACAGCUCAGAUAAAAACUGACCCGGUGGACACAUGCAGUAUACUCCCACUGUUUGUUUGGGAAGUGUUGUAAACAUAGCCACAGUCCACACCUAUCCUGUAUCUGUCACGCUGUUUCUUAUGAAAUACUGCAUUUUGUUUGAUGUGUGUUGCCCACCUCCGCCCAGCUUCUGAAUUAAUAAAAAGAACAGCCUAGCUGCGUUUGAAGCUCGUUCUACAUUCCUGCUACGUUAGAGCCAAUAUAUAUAUAUAUUUUAAAAAAGUUUACCAGCACUGAUUUUAAAAAAAGAAAUAAAGGAAGGACUCUGAGCACGUGCAGUUUUGCAUUUUGAAGUCACUGAGAUCACAGCACCAUCAUGACUAAAGGAACAAAAUGGGACAUGCUUCCUUAUGCUUUCAAUACAUUUCUUUGGGACUAAUAAUCAGCAUUUUGUUGCAGAAAAGAAGACCGGUGUGUUUUCCAAUUAGAAAUGAUAAAAUGAGCACCUAUAACCAUGCACACGGCCAGGUAUCUGCCCCGUGGCUAUAAAAUGUUUUAAAGAAAAGAUAAGUGGAAAGGAAGGAAGCUACAGUGGUAAGUAUCAGCCCUGGUGUCUUCAACUCCCAGGCAUGCCCACAUCAGUGGGACUGCCGUAUGCCUGGAUUUUCUUGGACAUUACCAUGAUUUCAGAGGCGGAAUGAAUGUCCGGGAGGAACUUCCUAAAGGUGGUGCUUUGUUUUGGAACUUAGGCAAGUAAAAAACAACAACUGAACAACAAAAACCUCAACAAUUUUGGGGUUUUCCUAAAAAAAAAAAGAAAGCUCAGCAACCUUGUGUGCUGCAUCACCUGACACGCUCAUUUUGA